rnacentral:rRNA from 1 species
CCUACGGGCGGCUGCAGUGGGGGAUAUUGCACAAUGGGGGGAACCCUGAUGCAGCGACGCCGCGUGGGUGAAGAAGCGCCUCGGCGCGUAAAGCCCUGUCAGCAGGGAAGAAAACGACGGUACCUGAAGAAGAAGCCCCGGCUAACUACGUGCCAGCAGCCGCGGUAAUACGUAGGGGGCAAGCGUUAUCCGGAUUUACUGGGUGUACAGGGGGCGCAGGCGGCGAUGCAAGCCAGGAGUGAAAGCCCGGGGCGCAACCCCGGGACUGCUCUUGGAACUGCGUGGCUGGAGUGCAGGAGGGGCAGGCGGAAUUCCUGGUGUAGCGGUGAAAUGCGUAGAUAUCAGGAGGAACACCGGUGGCGAAGGCGGCCUGCUGGACUGCAACUGACGUUGAGGCCCGAAAGCGUGGGGAGCGAACAGGAUUAGAUACCCCGGUAGUC